rnacentral:miRNA from 1 species
CUCUGUGAGUGCCGCAAGCGCUCGCCACUGAGCGUCUCGCCAGUCUUCAUAUUUGUACUUGUUAAACAAGAAGCACAAAAGUGAGGCUGGGGAGAGGGUUUGCAGUGUGCAUUGCUCUUCUAAAGGACCACAGUU